GGUCAAGUGAAGAAGCGCAUACGGUGGAUGCCUUGGCAGUCAGAGGCGAUGAAAGACGUGGUAGCCUGCGAAAAGCUUCGGGGAGUCGGCAAACAGACUGUGAUCCGGAGAUGUCUGAAUGGGGGAACCCAGCCAUCAUAAGAUGGUUAUCUUGUACUGAAUACAUAGGUGCAAGAGGCGAACCAGGGGAACUGAAACAUCUAAGUACCCUGAGGAAAAGAAAUCAACCGAGAUUCCCUUAGUAGUGGCGAGCGAACGGGGACCAGCCCUUAAGUUGUAUUGAGAUUAGCGGAACGUUCUGGAAAGGACGGCCAUAGUGGGUGAUAGCCCUGUACGCGAAAAUCCCUUUGCAAUGAAAUCGAGUAGGACGGGGCACGAGAAACCUUGUCUGAAUAUGGGGGGACCAUCCUCCAAGGCUAAAUACUACUGACUGACCGAUAGUGAACCAGUACCGUGAGGGAAAGGCGAAAAGAACCGCGGAGAGCGGAGUGAAAUAGAUCCUGAAACCGUAUGCGUACAAGCAGUGGGAGCCCACUUUGUUGGGUGACUGCGUACCUUUUGUAUAAUGGGUCAGCGACUUAUUUUCAGUGGCGAGCUUAACCGAAUAGGGGAGGCGUAGCGAAAGCGAGUCUUAAUAGGGCGUCUAGUCGCUGGGAAUAGACCCGAAACCGGGCGAUCUAUCCAUGGGCAGGUUGAAGGUUGGGUAACACUAACUGGAGGACCGAACCGACUACCGUUGAAAAGUUAGCGGAUGACCUGUGGAUCGGAGUGAAAGGCUAAUCAAGCUCGGAGAUAGCUGGUUCUCCUCGAAAGCUAUUUAGGUAGCGCCUCAUGUAUCACUGUAGGGGGUAGAGCACUGUUUCGGCUAGGGGGUCAUCCCGACUUACCAAACCGAUGCAAACUCCGAAUACCUACAAGUGCCGAGCAUGGGAGACACACGGCGGGUGCUAACGUCCGUCGUGAAAAGGGAAACAACCCAGACCGUCAGCUAAGGUCCCAAAGUCAUGGUUAAGUGGGAAACGAUGUGGGAAGGCUUAGACAGCUAGGAGGUUGGCUUAGAAGCAGCCACCCUUUAAAGAAAGCGUAAUAGCUCACUAGUCGAGUCGGCCUGCGCGGAAGAUGUAACGGGGCUCAAACCAUGCACCGAAGCUACGGGUAUCAUCUUAGGAUGAUGCGGUAGAGGAGCGUUCUGUAAGCCUGUGAAGGUGAGUUGAGAAGCUUGCUGGAGGUAUCAGAAGUGCGAAUGCUGACAUGAGUAACGACAAUGGGUGUGAAAAACACCCACGCCGAAAGACCAAGGUUUCCUGCGCAACGUUAAUCGACGCAGGGUUAGUCGGUCCCUAAGGCGAGGCUGAAAAGCGUAGUCGAUGGAAAACAGGUUAAUAUUCCUGUACUUCUGGUUAUUGCGAUGGAGGGACGGAGAAGGCUAGGCCAGCCUGGCGUUGGUUGUCCAGGUUUAAGGUGGUAGGCUGAGAUCUUAGGUAAAUCCGGGAUCUCAAGGCCGAGAGCUGAUGACGAGUGUUCUUUAGAACACGAAGUGGUUGAUGCCAUGCUUCCAAGAAAAGCUUCUAAGCUUCAGGUAACCAGGAACCGUACCCCAAACCGACACAGGUGGUUGGGUAGAGAAUACCAAGGCGCUUGAGAGAACUCGGGUGAAGGAACUAGGCAAAAUGGCACCGUAACUUCGGGAGAAGGUGCGCCGGUGAGGGUGAAGCAUUUACUGCGUAAGCCCAUGCCGGUCGAAGAUACCAGGCCGCUGCGACUGUUUAUUAAAAACACAGCACUCUGCAAACACGAAAGUGGACGUAUAGGGUGUGACGCCUGCCCGGUGCCGGAAGGUUAAUUGAUGGGGUUAGCGCAAGCGAAGCUCUUGAUCGAAGCCCCGGUAAACGGCGGCCGUAACUAUAACGGUCCUAAGGUAGCGAAAUUCCUUGUCGGGUAAGUUCCGACCUGCACGAAUGGCGUAACGAUGGCGGCGCUGUCUCCACCCGAGACUCAGUGAAAUUGAAAUCGCUGUGAAGAUGCAGUGUAUCCGCGGCUAGACGGAAAGACCCCGUGAACCUUUACUAUAGCUUUGCACUGGACUUUGAAUUUGCUUGUGUAGGAUAGGUGGGAGGCUUUGAAGCGUGGACGCCAGUCUGCGUGGAGCCAACCUUGAAAUACCACCCUGGCAACUUUGAGGUUCUAACUCAGGUCCGUUAUCCGGAUCGAGGACAGUGUAUGGUGGGUAGUUUGACUGGGGCGGUCUCCUCCUAAAGAGUAACGGAGGAGUACGAAGGUGCGCUCAGACCGGUCGGAAAUCGGUCGUAGAGUAUAAAGGCAAAAGCGCGCUUGACUGCGAGACAGACACGUCGAGCAGGUACGAAAGUAGGUCUUAGUGAUCCGGUGGUUCUGUAUGGAAGGGCCAUCGCUCAACGGAUAAAAGGUACUCCGGGGAUAACAGGCUGAUACCGCCCAAGAGUUCAUAUCGACGGCGGUGUUUGGCACCUCGAUGUCGGCUCAUCACAUCCUGGGGCUGAAGCCGGUCCCAAGGGUAUGGCUGUUCGCCAUUUAAAGUGGUACGCGAGCUGGGUUUAGAACGUCGUGAGACAGUUCGGUCCCUAUCUGCCGUGGACGUUUGAGAUUUGAGAGGGGCUGCUCCUAGUACGAGAGGACCGGAGUGGACGAACCUCUGGUGUUCCGGUUGUCACGCCAGUGGCAUUGCCGGGUAGCUAUGUUCGGAAAAGAUAACCGCUGAAAGCAUCUAAGCGGGAAACUUGCCUCAAGAUGAGAUCUCACUGGAACCUUGAGUUCCCUAAAGGGCCGUCGAAGACUACGACGUUGAUAGGUUGGGUGUGUAAGCGCUGUGAGGCGUUGAGCUAACCAAUACUAAUUGCCCGUGAGGCUUGACCAU
rnacentral:rRNA from 1 species